rnacentral:lncRNA from 1 species
UUGGUAGAGCCAUAUCUCUUUGUCAUUGAAGUAUACUCCGAACAAUCUUUUCAAUUUCUGGAUCAAAACUGGCAAGAAAAUCUAACUUGCUCCGGGUCAUAAAAGACCUAAAAUAAAGUUGAAGAAACAAAAACAAAGAAAAACCAGUUAGUGAAUACUAAAUAUUAUAUAAGAAAAAUAAAGUACAAAAACACACAAAAAUAAAAAUAAACAUCAAACAAACACCAUCCUUAACAACGAC